GAAAGAGAGAGAGAUACUUAUUUCGAGCAUCGUUAUUAAUAACCUCGAAACACCAUGCGAAAGCAUCCAUUCCCAGACGCUCUUCAAACAUGCAUUACACGGCGUGAAGCAGCGUAGUAACGAGAGGCGUCAGACCGAGAGAAUGGUUUAUUUAAGCUGUGCACAAAUUGCACGUGUGUAUCCUCGAGGCUUUUUAUCCGGUGAAUGAGGAUGACGUAAAGGCCGGAGGGACAAAGGAGUGCACGAGUGGUAAAGAAGAGUCGUGGCCGCGAAUAGGGAGUUUUGCAAGGUGAAGUGUCGCUCUGGAAGUGUCAUGGCGCGCUGGUCGAUAGAAUGCAACGUUUCCGCGCGCUCGCUCUUCUCAGUUCUGUCCGUUUUCCAGACCUUUAUAAACAGAGACGAGGACUUGGGGCCUUCUUUUCUUUCAAGUUUUCCUGUAUUCGUGCUAUUUUAUCAUUUCUACGGAAGUUGGAUUCUUCGCUUGUCCCAGGCUCGAAUUUUUUUGCGUUGAAUGUGAAACUUUCUGCGAUUUCUCUUCUGGUUUCGAAGUUAGUUUGUAAGUAAAGUUUCGAAUUCUUUUCGUUUACGAAUUCUUUCAAAUAUUAAAGUUUUGAACAAUUUUUCUUUCAUUUCGCUUGGAUAAAACAAUUUUUUUAAAUUUACAACUUUAUAAAGCGGGGAAGAAUUUAUCGACAGAGGGAAAAAAAAUUAUUCGUCAAGCAAGAUAAAGUUUUCUAUCAUAAUUUAUCUAUUCGAUAAAGGAAAGAAACAAAGAGAAACUCCCUCGAUAUGCCAAAGUCCAAAAUAGUGAAACUAAAAGUGUCAUUAACUUCUUUCCAAGUUAAUUACUCUUCAAAUAUAGACCAAGCUUUCAAAUUUGCCUAAUCCGAGUAUCUUUGUUCUCUUUUCUUUAUUUUUUUUUUUUUCAAGCAAAAAAUAUAUCUUGAUUAAGCAGCCUUGAUCCGCAACCAACGACCCAGUUCCAUCCAGUGAGCCGAGUUUAAUCCUUUCUAUUAGUUCACGAGGAAACGCAACACUGUUUUACUACGAUUAAUCGUUCGAGAAGAUCUUGUUACACCGAUUGACGAAAGGCUUUGAUAAUCGAUACCCGUUUCAAUUAUUUAAGCGGCCGCAACUGGAAAUAGAAAGGAAAUAACAACGUGGAACGAGAAUCCACUUUCACCUACUUUUCCUCUAUUUUCGUGUUUUCACGCAUCGAUACUAUUACCACGGAUUCAUCAUUCGUGUUUCUCAUUGGCCGUUUCCACUCGCUCGUUCCAUUAACGGCAAGAUGAUUAAUAUCCUUUCAUGGUGUAUUUUAAAAGUCGACUUCCCAUUACGUAUUUAUCAAUCUUGAAUACGGCAAUUUUUAAUAUGCAGAGUGGGUUGUGUAACACGAAUUAUCCGAAUUAUUUUUCAGAUAAUAAGAUCACGUUAUAUUUUUAAUAACAUAAUUAUUCUAUCUUUCGAUUAAUUAUUAUUAUUAUAAUUUAUGUAUUAUAAUACAAAUAUAUAUAUUGUACAAUUUUGGGUUAUUUCGAUAAGUAUCGGUGAAAGUAUGAGAAAGUAAUUAAAUUAAAAGAGUAAUUAAGUAAAAGAAAAUUUCACUUUAUGAUCUUUAUCUAUCUGGAAAAAUAUAUUUUUAGAGACGGAAGGAUUAAAAGAUUAAUUAUCGUGGUGGCGUCAAUUGUUUUCUAUUAAUUUGUAAAUUUUUUCAACUUAAUCGAAUAAAUGACUCACAAAAGAUAA